rnacentral:tRNA from 1 species
ACUAUUUUGGCAGAUUAGUGCAAUAAAUUUAGAAUUUAUGUAUAUAUAUAUAAUAUAAAUAGUA